rnacentral:rRNA from 1 species
GAUGAACGCUGGCGGCGUGCCUAAUACAUGCAAGUCGAGCGAACAGACGAGGAGCUUGCUCCUCUGACGUUAGCGGCGGACGGGUGAGUAACACGUGGAUAACCUACCUAUAAGACUGGGAUAACUUCGGGAAACCGGAGCUAAUACCGGAUAAUAUAUUGAACCGCAUGGUUCAGUAGUGAAAGACGGUUCUGCUGUCACUUAUAGAUGGAUCCGCGCCGCAUUAGCUAGUUGGUAAGGUAACGGCUUACCAAGGCAACGAUGCGUAGCCGACCUGAGAGGGUGAUCGGCCACACUGGAACUGAGACACGGUCCAGACUCCUACGGGAGGCAGCAGUAGGGAAUCUUCCGCAAUGGGCGAAAGCCUGACGGAGCAACGCCGCGUGAGUGAUGAAGGUCUUCGGAUCGUAAAACUCUGUUAUUAGGGAAGAACAAAUGUGUAAGUAACUAUGCACGUCUUGACGGUACCUAAUCAGAAAGCCACGGCUAACUACGUG